GCGGCCCGCGGGGCCCGCUCGCUCAGCGGGUACGGGAAGACCACCGAGGGGUCGAUGCAGUCGGCGGCGGCGGCGCCCAGGUCGUGCAGGACUACACUGACUACCUCCUCUCUCACGGAAAUCCAUGGAAGUCCCAGAAAAACAGGUGAAAUGAUGAUUUUCUCAUUGUCAACUCUUAUAUUAAUCUUGGAGGUCCUGUUUGAAUAUGUCUUUAUGGAAAGGAGGAAGAUGAGCUUGUAGCAGUGAGUUUACUGGUAAGCCUCACUUGUAGGCUGAAUGAAAUUCCAUCGCAUCUAGAAAUGACCCCAUUUCUUCCUCCCCUACAGAUAACAGCAUCAAAAAUGAUCAGCUUUAUUCUCUAGGUAUUUUCUGAUAUCAUGAAGGUAACCAGGAGGGAAGCCUGUGUAUGCAAUGUUCCUUUCCAGUGACAGAUUUCCCUGUCUUCACCAUUCCCUGGACAGAACCACCUGGACAAUCAAAGCAAGAGCAAGAAACCUGUGAACAGAUUCUGCAGAAGUGGUGAUAAAGCAAGAUGAUUUUCCUGAGGAACUUUCUGCUAUGUGGAGAAGUUUGCUUUUGGGAGAAGGCAGCAGAAAUGUCAUAUUUCCUCAAGAGAGUGAUUAUUUAGAAGUAAAAUUAGGAAAUAAUUAGUCAAGGUACAAGUCUUUUGUAAAAUGCUGUUGACUGGACUUCCAGAGAAGAGAGUCUGGGAUUCAACAUCAUUUGAGAGAAACUCAAGUAUUUCACCCCUUUUGGGCAAUUCUCUCAGGCUUUCUGCAUAUACAUAGGGAUGUUGCUGUAUAUCAGAUCUGGCUUUGACUCUCAGUGUGGGCUCAGUGUUAGAAAGUGGUGUAGACCUUAAUCUGGUGCAAUGCAGGCUGAGAAGGUAAAUGGCAUCAUGAGCUAGCAACUGCAGUACUGCAAGUGUUGGGUUUUCAAAGAGUGUGGAUUAAAGCGGGGGCAAUGAGCAUGGAGUGUUGCCUUUUUCAAGUCUGUGAUAUGAAGGUGGAUUUUUAUCUUUUUUUUUUUUUUUUUUUAAUUGAGAAGACAUUCAUCACCCCCUCUAGAAAAGCAAAAUGUUCUUGGCCAUGGACCAGCUUGAACCAAAGAUCAAAGAUCUUUCCUCAGCUCUGUUGUGCCUCUGUGUGUGUGACUGUUGUAUUUUUGCUUCUUGAUAGUGUCUCCUCAGGCUCUGUCUCCAUGGGUUUGCAGCCUGAAAUACUGGUUCCUUGCUGUUCUUCCUCAGAAAGCUGUAAAGCCAGAAAUGCAGCUGGUAAUUAUAUUGUAAGCUUAUGUGUUUAAAAUUAAUAAAGUACAACAAGAUCUAUUAUUUAUCCAGUUGGCCAAAUUAUUCCUAGGUAUAAUUAUUCGGUGAUUGCAUUUCAUGUGAUGAUUCCAUACCAAAAAGGACUAAUAAUUGUUAGAAGGACUCUAAAU